GAGCGAUCGCGGUGGGCUUGGGCUGGUGACGCGUGCGCCGGCCGGCCGCCGAGGGGCUACCGUUCUGCCUCCGACCGAAAUACUAGGCUUUAGAAUUUCACCAUAUGAAUUUUGGGAGAGAGGAGCACAGUUCAGCCCAUAACUAACACACGACGGAAUGAAGUUGAUAAUAGUGAGACCUUGUUGGUACAAGACUAUGUAACAUAACCUGCGCUUCUCAACAAAGAAUUGCUUUUCUGACUUCUGCACUCAAUAGCAAGACAAAUCUCUCCUCUGCCUUCUCCUUAUCAGACUACUCAACAUGAAGGCAAUAAGAAUGAAGACCUCUAUGUAUAAUAAUUGACUUCCACUUAAUAAAUAGGCUGUUGAUUGCUGGCAGCAAAGAAGUCCAACUGUGCUGGUACCCGAGAUAGCGUCUCCACAUUUUCUUCCAGGAUCAUCACCUUUGUUCUAAAUAGCUCCCACAUAGUGUGAACAGAAGUCAUAUGUUUUAGAUUUUCUGCCUUGGCACCCAGGAAACCAGUAUGAUUGAGUAAACAUAUUAAACUUCCUCUGCAUUUCCAGCCUGAACAGAUGUUGAGUACAAGCUGAUCCACCUACGUUCAACCUGAGAGAGUCCACAUCCACAGACUGUUUCAUUUCCCUUUUUCAAUUUACAUAGAAGCAUAGAUUCUUGCUGGCAUAUACAAAUGCGCCAUUUAAGGCAAUCAAAAAUGGUUCCACAUCUCAUCUGAUUUCCACAAUUGUUGCUGUAACGAUGGACUACUGAGGAGAGAGACAAUUUCUCUGGCACAUCUUCCCACAUUUUAGCAACAUGUUCAUGGAGAGCCAAUAUUCAGUAAUUACAGCCCAAUUCCUCACAAUUUCACAAUUCGCUAACAAUAUGCAUUUUCACAAUGUAAAGCUGAUUUUCCUUUAACCAAAUCAAACAUGAAAAGAUAGCUGCAUGCAAUGGGCAAUCUAGAUCAUUAGAAGAUUGAUGUAAAAUUAGAGGACACUGAGACUGGAAUAGAUUGCAAACUUCAGGGAGCUCAGAAAACUUGUAAACUCUACAUUUUGAGGAAAUAUGUUGUCGAUGCUUUUGCAACUCUAUGCAGUAACUUAACAAAUAAAGCCUUAAAGUAAC
rnacentral:lncRNA from 1 species